AUAGCCUUCCACUCCGCCGCCACCAAAUCCUCUCUCCACCCUUCCCCUCCGCCGCCGGAUCCCCUCCCCGCCUGUCCCCUCCGCCGCCGAGUCCCCUCCCCGUCCUUCUCCUUCUCCGUUGCCGAGUCCCCUCCGCCGCUGAGGCCCCUCCCUGCCUGUCCCCUCCACCGCCGCCGGUCCCCUCCCCGCCCAUCCCCUCCGCGCCACCGGGUUCUCUCCCCGCCCGUCCCCUUUGCCACCCCCGGAUCCCCUCGCCUUUUCCCUCCGCUUCCGCCAGGUUCCCUUCCUGCUCUUCUCCUCCGCCAUCGGGUCUUCGACGUGAGGGGUAGAUGACUCAGAGGCCUCUCGCCACUCCGUUCUCAUCUACACGGAGGUGCUGGCAAGGGGCAAGCCGUUGACGCCGGUCGGCCGGCGAGCCAUUGACUACUCGGUCCACACCGUGUCACGACCCUUGUCCCGUCGCCGUCCAAUCCUGUGGGCAACCAUAGCGAGGGUGUCAUGGUCUAGGGUUUGGGUCAUGGGGCCGCUGGCUGCACCGUCGAUCCCUGGCGCAAAUUGAUGGCCUCAAGAUCACAGAUAAGUGCUCCAAAACUACUAUCAUUGGCCUGCUCUUGUGGUUCAACACUCCUGUCGAUGCCCUGCUCUUGUUGUUCAGUAAAUGGUAGUUCACUGAAAAUCGUUUGAUCUUAUAUACUGUAAAACUGCUAUCUAAAGUUGCACACCGAUCUUGAUAGAUGCUCCUUUGUUAUUAUUUUACCCAUCAUGUGUGUUACUGGCCCAAAAUUGAUGAGAUAUAAAACGAGCUACUAAUUAAAUUGAUCAUAUGCCUGGUCUCUAGCAGUAGCGUUUCUGUUUGGAAGAGAACUUAGCAUAUAUGUUCUUAUCUCAGAUUUAAAUCAUUACACGUCCAGCAGUCCUUUUCCAUAUUUAGUGUUUUUCUACUGAACAACUAAGUCCAUUCAUUCAUCACGAAUUCUUUUGUUGCUGCAGUACAAUGUCUGAAAAAGAGACUAAGCUUUCAUGUAUCCAAUCUGGAGAUAUGAAGCAGAGUAACCUCUUUGCUUGAUUGCUUGCCUGGUGCAACUUUUACAUAUACACAUGUACGUAUGAACGAGGAUAAAUCGUAUUGCUUGACUGCUUGCCUUGUGCAACUUUUGCAUGUGCGUAUGUAUGUGUAUGAAUAUUUGCAUGAACAGAGGAUGAACUGUGAACACGUGACCUAUUUGUUCUCC